UAGGGAAUCUUCGGCAAUGGGGGGAACCCUGACCGAGCAACGCCGCGUGAGUGAAGAAGGUUUUCGGAUCGUAAAGCUCUGUUGUUAAGGAAGAACGAGUGUGAGAAUGGAAAGUUCGUACUGUGACGGUACUUAACCAGAAAGGGACGGCUAACUACGUGCCAGCAGCCGCGGUAAUACGUAGGUCCCGAGCGUUGUCCGGAUUUAUUGGGCGUAAAGCGAGCGCAGGCGGUUAGAUAAGUCUGAAGUUAAAGGCAGUGGCUCAACCAUUGUAGGCUUUGGAAACUGUUUAACUUGAGUGCAGAAGGGGAGAGUGGAAUUCCAUGUGUAGCGGUGAAAUGCGUAGAUAUAUGGAGGAACACCGGUGGCGAAAGCGGCUCUCUGGUCUGUAACUGACGCUGAGGCUCGAAAGCGUGGGGAGCGAACAGG
rnacentral:rRNA from 1 species